UCUCAAGUCGAACCCAAGGAAGAGAAAACCCCAUCGUCUCCACCCAUGCAUCGCCGUCGCCCGACCAUCUCCGGCCACCCCUCGUCAAGCUGAGGCCACCUCCAGCUUCGCCUUGACGUCGCGAUUCUCAUCGUUCAAGAAAAUCUAGCAGCUGGCCUUCCAAUCGUCGUCAAGGUCGCCUUCUUUCUCUCCGGCCGCCACGCUCCGGCAAGGUUUCCGGCCGCCUCCGACCUCGUCCGCCCCAGCCGAGGUGUUCAUCAGUUUCCUGGUGAGACGGCGCCCCUUUUCCCCUCUCUUCUCCGUCCUGUUUUCUCACUUUUCGGCGUCGCCAAAUCUGACGAAACUGUCGGUGUUGCUGUCCGAGAGAAAAUCGCCGAAAGAACCUGCCGGAGAUCGCCGUCCUUGCCGUCGUUGUUCACCGCCGUUCGCUGCACCGAACGCGGGGAUGGAACCGUCGUGGCGCCCUCUUCCUCCUCGCUAGUUUUCGGAGCCGGAGCUGAUCAAGUUCUUCGUCACCGUCGACCAUGUCUUCGUCCAGGAGUUCGACGUCUUCCGUGGCCUUGUCUCCGCCCUUCCCCGAGCCUCAUCGACGACUCCAACGUCUCGCGAUCCUCUCCAAAAAUUGCAGCCGUGCCCGACCUGGAGCGUCUCCAUCGCGAUCAUCGACGACCUGGUCCUGCUUUGCGCCGUUCACAGCUUCCCAAGUCCGAGCAAUUCACCAACCACCCCGCACAUUUGCUUCUUCCCGGAUAGGAUCACGAAGUGAUGUGGUGAGAUACGACAAGUCCUCCGGAUGUUUCUCGGCAAGCUUUAACAGGC